UGUUUGGAUACACAAAACUUAGGGGUUUUUUUGUUUUUCUUUUUUCAUAAAAAAAAAAAACAGGCACACUAGCUCUGUAAUUAACUGCCAAACUUGCCUGCCUUUAUGUUUCUUUCAGUGUUAAUAUUUGCAGCACAAGGGCUAACUGUAUACACUUCUAUGUGUACAUACAUGUAUACAUAGUAAUAUAAAUUCUUAAUGGUUAUCAACUAGGUAUGAAGCAGUGUUCUUAAAUGUUUAAGAAUUUGAAGAAAUUAUGUGUGUGUGUGUGGGGGGGUAGACUCUGCCAUCUCACUGCUCAGAUUUGGAUCAUAGUGUCACCAAACUCAGGUUUGGCUGUUCGCUGCUCAAAAGCCAAUAAUUUGAGAGGCAAGUGUCAGUAUAAAGGAGAUGUGAGUUUAAUCAGGAAAGCCAGCAAUCUGGGAGAAGGUGGGGACUCAUGUUCUGAGACCAACUCUGAAGGUUCUGCUCAACCAUGAGUUUUUAAAGGGAAAACAUGGGAGGAAGAACCUCAGUGAAUCACUGAGGUUAGAUUUGCAUUAAUCUCCAUUGCGUGCAGAUUGGCCGACACUCUCUUCAGAUAUUAUUGUGUUUGCAGGGUUCCUUAGGGGGCUGUUGAGGGUAGAGGGCUAGUCAUUCUUUAACUGCUUAAUUCUUUCUUUUUGCUUCUCUUUGUCUAAGAAAAGAAUUGACUGGCUAGGUAAGGCAUGAUGUGAGUUCAGGAGAACAUAAGUCAGGAGUUAGUUUCAAUUGCUUAGUGAUCUCAUUCCUAUAAUUAGGUUUUUGUGGUUAGAAUGGGACAGAAAUGAGUAAACAGAAAAGGGGCAGAAUGGCUGCUUUCGACAGAACUGUUUUAUCUAGCCCAUGGAAUAUUAGAAAUAGCUGUGUGUUUGCUUCGAAACACCAAGAAACUUUUCAUAAGUAUCCAGAGACUGUGCCUCCUCUUGAGAAAUCAGAGGCUCUGUCAAGAUGGGACCUAUAUUCUCCCCACAACACCAUCAUCUGGAAGCUGACCAUCCCAGCACCUGCCAUUGUCUCACCCCUGAGCCUCAUUCACCAGUUUCCUGUCCUCACUUUGUUGACAUUUGAGGUACCACCCCAUAGAUCAGUAAGGAAUAACUGAAGGGGGUUUGGAAGGAGCGAGAUGGCUAUGGUUUCUGAGGGUUUUAGGCAAAAGGGCUGGAUUUGAAAGUAGGAGGGCUCUGGGAUACAGCCACAAGAUUGGGGAAAACACUCUUCAGCACCUGGGAGCUGGACAGCGGCUGGAGGGGCUGGUCCCCUUCCUUCAGAGAAGGAUGUUUUAAAAGCUUUGUUCUGGUGGAAUAUCAGCAAUAUGCUGAAGAAAAUAUCCUUUCCCAAUUUUCGAGAACAGAUUAAUAGAGGCUUUCCAUUCUACUUUUUUUCGUAAAUAAAAUUUAAAGUGAAAGAAAAUAGAUAUCAUUUCUUUUGAAGGAAGAGAGAGGAAGAAAGAAGCAGUAUGUGGAAAUAUUGGAGAGUAUUCUGUAAUGACUGCUACUUGCAGAAGUAAGUUAGGAGGAGCCCCUUGGCAGCAAAGCAUAGAAUGUGGUCUGGUUAUAUUGUAAGUUCUAUGUGCCCAGCGAAGCAUGUUAGUUUGUAACAGAACUUCAAGUGGAAAAAUCACAAUUGACAGCUUCAGUUCAUAAGGAGCAAAGCACCAGAAUCCACGAAGAAAUUAACUGCUCUGGUGAGCAGUCAGCUUUAGAAAAAAAUGAACGCUUCACGGAAGGAAGAGUGGUGGAUUUUCAAAUUAAUUCUUAUUUGUGUUUCUCGGGUAUUUCCAACUUCAAAUGUACUCAAUUCCAAUAUAUUGUUUUCUUACAUUAAUAGGAAUCAGUUUCAAGCACCUUGUGUUUUUACUUCAAAAUAAUUGGAUAGGUACACUUUAAGUAAAAUUUCUUUAUUUGCACUUAUAAAAUAUUACAUCCAGUAAAAUUAAAUGUAAUGUUUAAUGAACUCUUUGAAAACUGUAGCUGUUACCUUAAUGUAACUCAUUCUGAUUUCCACUAAAUGUACCUGUUGUAUUUGACCCACAUGGUUUAAUGUCCCUGUAAUCAAGACAAUGCCCCUUUAGAGUCACAGGAAGAUCUUUUACAUCUUAUUUUCCUUAUAGGUUUAGAAAACUAUAUAAAACUAAUUUUUGCGACCAAGGAUUUCUGUUAUUUCUCAUUUUAGUAUUUUUUCCCAUAAUUUAGUAAAAGAGAAAAACUACAAAUUAUAUUUAUAUAUCUAGAAUUCUGGAAAAUUCUCUCAAACUGUAAAACUAAAUUGUUCUUAUUUAUUAUGAAUUCAAAAUAAACUAUCUUUCAGAUGAAAAUAAUGCAUAUCGGGAGUUCCCAUUAUGUUGCAGUGCAAACAAAUCUGACUAGUAUCCAUGAGGAUGCUGCUUCAAUCCCUGGCCUCAUUCAGUGGGUCAGGGAUCUGGCAUUGCCAUGAGCUGUGGUGUAGGUCACAGACAUGGCUUAGAUCCCAUGUUGCUGUGGCUGUGGUGAACGCCAUAAUGUCAUGUGUAUACACGUUAUUUCUAAGUUAAUUACAGGGAUUUCUAUGUAACUUAUUAUCUUAAAAAACAAAGAGACAAAACAAAACAAAAACUCCUCUGUAGCCAUUCAACUUAUUUUAUGAGGGGAUAAAAUUUCAUGAAACUUUGUGUUAUCCUCCUAUGGCUGGUUUUGUCUCUGUUUAUCAGAGUUCCUUUUGUUCAGAAAUGCCUGUCUUUCUACUGUAUUGCAGAUACUACCUGUUUAAGUUCUGAUUGUAUUUGAUCUUCCACUUAUAUUUUUGAAAUGAAGACAAGGAUCAAUCAGUUGCCUGAUGUCUUUGUCUCUUUAAAAUACAUAGCACCUAUGCACUAAGAAAUGAUACACUAAAUUGCAACUCACAGAAUGCACUGAGAGAGAAGUUUUUUUCUUAAAUAUUAUGUGACAUUCCAUUCCCUGAUCUUAUGAAAAGCUACAUCAGGAUAACUUGGAUUUUAUCCUAAAAUGCUAUGCAUUGGACUCACUCUCAUAUGUAAGUUUGACAGUUGAUGAGAACUAGGGGACUGCAAGAGAGAAAGAAUCCUUAACUCUAUCUACUCAUAUUUAACUACCCUAAGGCACUUUAAAUCUUGUCCAUCCUUUAUUCUAGUAAAACUGUCAUGGAACCAAAAGAUAUAUCUGCGUAAAGAACUCUGUUCUGUCAAAAAGUAAAGCUCCUUGGAGAAGCUUAUGGGACUUUAUGUCAGUUUUCUACUUGAAUUAUAGUUAUUUCACUAACUAGUUAUCUUUUUCACAUCUAUUGUGACUAGAGAAUAAGAUGUAGCAGCAAUCAUUCUGCAAUGCCGUUUGUGAACUAAAUUUAUGUUACAGAUUUGCAUGCUAAGUGCCUCUCUGGUAAGAAGAGCUCUCAAAAACAGCAAGUUUAUGCUACCAUUUGUGCUUAAGGCAGACUUCUAAAGCAGACCCAAGUUAAACAUGAAGACAACUUUACAUUUUGUCUUAUGUCCAAUAUGGGUUGUUUACUUACCAUUGGAGUUAUUUGAGUUAUCUUUUUUUUGGGGGGGGUCGAGGUGGGGCGAUAUUAGCAACUUAAACUGAGAUUAUCUUUAAUCAUCUUUCUUUAACUCCAUAAUUUUAAAAUUGUGUGUGUUUUGGUGUUGUGAAAAUAUAUGUGUAUAUAUGUUUACAUAGAUAUGUAUUUAAAUUCAUUAUUAGUUAAAAGUGAGAUCUGGAAUUUAGAGGUAGUUUCAAGAGGAAAUUUAAAAUAUAAGUUGUACAAAGUUAUGUAUAUAUACAAUGUGAUUAUUUAGUAGAUAUAAGGCCAUUCUGGUCUGAUAAAUCAUAAGCGCCUUUGCUAGAAGUUCUCAUUCAUUGAUUCAUUUAUUCCACACAGAUACAUUGGAUGUAUUAGGCAGCAGGUAUUGCCCAAGGCUGAGAGAUGCAGUGGUUGAGAAAGAGGCACCGGAUGCUGUUCUGGAAGUUGUAUCUUCUAGUGGGGGAGGGAGGGAGAGAAAAAGGCACAAACAAGAACCAUGAUGUCCUGGAAACAGGUGGACAGAUGGAUGCAGAUUUAACCCCACUUUUCCUCCUCUUUUGAGUUCUCAGACAUCCUUCCUCCUUUGGGAAAGGGAAUUAAAAUAUGUGACUUGCCUCUUUUACAGAAUGAAAGAGUUAAAAUCACCAGUUUCAGCCAGAGAGAGCCCAAAGCCCUGAGCUCAGUGUGCAGGUGGAUGAUCUCAGGGGCUCCCCUCAGAGGCUCUGACUUGCAUGACUGUUUCACUCCGCAGGAGACCCUUAAGUUGCAGGACACAUCCCAGCACUUAUCUGGACUCCCUUAAAGAAUACUAGUGGGGGGUCUCUGAAAGAAUUUUUUCAAUCAUAAAAUGAAAUCAUAAACAUGUUUUAAGUAGAAAAGGGAGAAAAUUAAAAGCCUAAAUCCCUGUAAGCUUCUUUUACAACUUAAGUUUCCCUCCCCAGAGGUAAUUACUACCAACAGUUGUUUUUGCAUUUUUCUAUUCAUAUUCUAAAUAGUUGUAUAAACAACUUCCUGGGAUCUUUUUGGCAGAAAUCUGAUUAGAAAAUAUAGUAGUUUGCAACUUUUUGCCUAUUAUUUUUUAAAGUAGGUAAAUAGUUCAUACCUAUAUAUAUGUAUAGAUAUAUAUCAUAUACAUAAUAUAGUAAAUAUAUUUAUUACAAUGUACACAAAUAUUAUAAAACAUACAAUGAAAAUCCUUCUUCAGUAUCUUUCUUCACCUUAUAUGCAAUUUGAAGAAAACUAAUGUUUUAGGAAAUAAUAUAAUAUUCUGUCCUCCAUAAGAUUGUGAUGGUUGAAUUGUUAUCAUUGUUAAGAUAUUGUUAAUAGUUGUGGGUUGAACUGUGUUACCAAGAAAGCUUAUUAAUGAAGCCAGUGUGUAAGAACCUCUGAUAUAUUGUAUAAAAACAUAUAAAGUCUGUGAAAUGUUAUUUAUAAAAAGAGUUUUUCAUUGACAGAAUUGUUUUCCUCUGGGCCAUCCUCUGUAAUGGUGUGAGGAAGAGGAAGUUGAGGUCUGUCAAAUAACUGUUUCAUAGAUUCUUGUAGCACAAAGGCAUUUCAAGAAAUAUUUGUAGCUAUAUGGGAAAGGAAAAAUGAAGAAGUUGUCAGCACUUUUUCCUUUGUGUUGAUUUUAACUUCCCUUUUUAUCUUAUUGUGUUAGUCUUCAUUUAGAUUCUUGCCAAACUACAUCAAUAAUAUUCCAUAUAAGAGGACUUUGGAGAUCCCUGGUGGCUCAGUGGGUUAAGGAUCCAGCUUUGUCAUAGCUGUGGCUCAGAUUGCUGCUGUGAUGUGGGUUUGAUCCCUAGCUAGAGAAUUUCUGCAUGCUGUAGG
rnacentral:lncRNA from 1 species